GCUGGAUAGAGAGAGAGCCUAAAAACGAGGAUGGAAGCUAAUAGCAGGGGAGCAUCUGUCAGAGGAAUAACGCAUCCCAGUCCAUUCAAAUCCACCUUCUGCCAGAAUCUGUACAAGGACAAGGUGUGAAGCUGGAGGAAGAAACACCCCCCUGGGUCUGGGACGGUGACAUCACAGGCCAACCACCAACCAAGGCCAAGGAGACCAGAGCCUGGCUCCCUGCCCAGGACACCUAGUUACAUGGUGCUCACCUUGGCCCUGACUCCACCAUGGGCUUCAGGCUGCUCUGCUGUGUGGCUCUCUGUCUCCUGGAAGCAGUCCCCGGGGACACUGCAGUUACCCAGACACCAAAACACCUGGUCGCAGCGACAGGGAGUAAGGGGACCCUGAAGUGCGAACAACGUCUGGGACAUAACGCUAUGUACUGGUACAAACAGAGUGCUCAGAGGCCACCGAAGCUCAUGUUUGCCUACAACUAUAAGGAACUCGCCGAAAAUGACAGUGUCCCCAGUCGCUUCACACCCGAGUGCUCAGACAGCUCCCACCUGCACCUUCACGUGGCCGCCCUACAGCCAGAGGACUCCGCCGUGUAUCUCUGUGCGAGCAGCAAGGACACAGCCCCGCACAGCCAACGGCUCCCCGUGCACAAACUUCCUGGGUGCAGCCGGGGAGCCGUGGGGGCGACCACGGCUCAGCUCGACAUCUCCGGUGGGACCCCAGACAGACAGAAACCCCAGGCCACGACGUGCCGGUCGGUUUGCUGGAUGCGGCAAGGCCCAGUUCCCUGCACAGACGCCCACAGCCUGUGGCCUGGCUCUGCCCGGGGCCAGACUGUGCCCGCGGCUGAGUGCGGGACGGAAAGGGUCCACCUCCAGUUCCUCCGGUAG